UCGGGGUGUGGAAGGCCACCUGAGGAUCAUUGCCAACAGUAUAAAAGGAAAACGGCAGGGCACGCUGGUGGUUCUCCUGGAGAAGUCUGUCACACUGGCCUUCCUGGCAAACUGGACUGGUCUCGGUUCCCCUUGGGGGAGCUCUUCUCUUUACCUUAGGCAUCACCAUCUGGCUCCAGUGCAGAACCCUCGGUCUGCUGGCACAGAUCCUUCAUCCCACUAACAUAAACUCCUCAGCUUCCUCCUGAAUCGUUCAGACUCUUCAAGCUUCCAUCACAGACCUACUGGCCUCCUGACAUGGACUCGCAUGGACACUGCAGUGAGCUCCAGGACUUGGCUUGAAUCCUUUCACCUCCCCUGUGUAGACGUCCUCUACACAGCUCCUCAUCCAACGCUGUGGCUGGCCAUCGUAAGCCAAUCUGACACAGCCAAGAAAUUACUUUGGACCUGGAGAAGAGAGCAGACCAGAAGUACAUCACUUCCAAGCCAAGCGUUCUCUGGCCACUCCUGAGUCCUCUCUCCGCCCUGUUGUAUGAGCCCUGAAGAAUUGCAGCGGUGGGUUGCUAUCUUACGAGGCCAUGCCCCCAGCCCUCUAAAAGAUGACUGCAUGAAGCAAAAUUCCCUCCCAUCUCCACGCCAACCUCCAUACUACCUGGAAGGGCCCAGCAGCCUAGAGCAGCGUACAAGUGAAAACCACUCUACCACCUGCCUUCAAUACAGCCCACAAGGAACACAGAAGUCUGAACAAGGUCCUGGCCAUUACUCUGUAUGCAAAACUGGAUCAAGGGGGAACUUACAGGUAAAGCUAGAAUUUUUCUUCACAAGCAGUUCUGAAUCUACACUAGUUCAAAAGCAAGUGAACGGUGAGUCAUUUUUAUAUGAACAAGUGAAAAAACGCUUUAAAUUUAAAAGAAUUGUUUUCCAAAUUUUGCAAAUAAGAAAGGAUUUCUUUCACGGAAUUAUUCACGGAAUUAUAAAUUAUAAAAGGAUUUCUUUCACUGGCUUGUUUUUCAUAAAUAACAUUCUGUUAUAGAAAGGGUACUAUACUCUGGGAGUUGUUUCUACUUUUAAUUCAAAUAGUGAAAAGGUAAAAGAUAAUGUUAAGAAUCAUAUUUCAAGAAACCAAAUAUCAAGGAGUUUAUUUAUAGGUACUGUAGUUUCCUGAUGAUUGUGUUAUCAUAUCUUUGUCUCUUGACAACUCAAGAAUCUGAUCAAAAACAAAAGUAACUCCUUUCGAUCUGAAUGCCUUAUCAACCUCAAAUAUUGACUGCUAAGAUUUCUUUCUAUUGAAGUUUGAAAAGAUAAAUAGGUUCCCAGUGAAUAUGUGCUGCUAAUACUUUACCCAGAAACAAUUUAAGAAAAAAUAAAAUGUUUCAACAUGUUAAAAUAAGUUUGAAAAAAAUCAGCAACAUCAAUAACCUUUCCCCAUCCACCCCUAUCCUAUCCUGCAGAAUCCCAUGGCAUAAACCAUGUAAGCCUCAGGAUGAAGUUUGUCUUUUAACCACGGUAGCUAUAAUUAUCCUGGGCAAACAAAAUCCCCAGCCCUGGGGAGCCAGGCUACCUGAGACUAGGAUUGCCCAAAACUUGGGGAUGACCACAGAGGCCAUUGUUCCGGGGCCCACACCAAGCUCUUUGUUUUAUAGAAGAGGAAACAACACAAGUUGGGUAAGGAACCUGCCCAGCUACUUAGCCAGGGAGCAGCAGCACUGAGGCUGACCCCAGACAGCCCAUUUCCCGCCCUACGGGCUUCCCCUCCACCACAAUCCAUCCGCCUGCUCACUGGCUCUCUGGAGCCGUCACUGAUUCAAGCACAGUUAAUGUACCCUUUCUAAGGUAGAUAAAUUCAACUCCAAUACCACUUACAGCAUGAAUCGCUUCCCAACGAGGCCUAUAAAGCAGAGGCCCUGUCAGCCCUGCAGGGCUGCAAACGACCCCCCAUGCUUUUUUUGGCAGAGCUGAGUUUAGCUCAGUUCUCUGGCCAAAGGCUCAGAUGCCUGCACCUUUCUAAUCAUACUACGCUGGUUAACCAUGGCUCUUUUCUUUGUAGAGUCUGUUUGUGCAUCAUUCUUUGUAGUACACUGGGACACAGCACCCCAAAACUACCCAGUUCCUCCUCUCCUGGAGAGCUUGAUUCCCAGUUGUGCUCCCACUUUUCCCUUCUGUGCUGGGGAACUGAACCCAUGGCCGUCGUACUGAGUUAACUUUUUAAGAUGAGGUGUCAUUAAAUUGCUAAAUUGCAGGGCUUGAAUUUUUGACACUUUUGUCUCAGCCUCCAACCACAGGCGUGCACCACCGUGCCAGGGUCAGUUACACCACUUUUACCUGACUAUUCCAAGUUGCUGUAUGAAAGUCCAGGAUGUGUCUGUUCAUUUAUUUCUGCUAACACAUGGUUUUAAAGUAACUAAAACAAUGAUGAAAUUUUGUCAAUUUCUUAAUUUUUUUUUUUAAAUUCUAAGACCAUAAUGAGGGCCACUUCCUCUUAGAAAGUUAUUUGAGGAAAAACUAAUCAACUCAACUUAAUAUUAUUCAGUGUUACUUACAAAACUAAAGAGUAAUCUCUGACUUCCCUCAACUUUUGAAUAGGACCAGAUCUCAAUUAACAGCAUUGAUUUCCUUAAAAUAAAAAUAACGAUCUCUCUUUACACUUGAGGUCCCAAUUGCAAAAUCCUAUAUCUCUAAUUAACAAUGAUUUAUUUUAUGCAAAAAGGAUAGCAACUCUUCUUGUCGGUUCCCAAAAACUUACAAUCCUAUCUCAGUGCUGCCUUUAUACCAAAUCAAAGAUUUGUUUUAUUUUAAAAAGGAUAAAACCAAGGAAAAUAAAACAGAAUAAAACCAAUUUAAAAAUAUAGGACUUCAAAUCCUUACGAAAUCCGCAAUAAUUACCAUAAUGCCUUUUGUUGUCUUCAAAAUAGCUGCAGAUACCUUCGGACAUAGUAAAAAUCAAACAGAACAGAAUAGCAUAUAAACAACAGAAACAAAACAGUGAAUGCAAUACAGAACUUCAAAAUAAGCUAAUAGUAAAUCCAAAGUGGCUAACAGUAUGUCUUAUUAUCUUUUAAAAUAGCUGCUCAUGCCAUCAGAUUUAACAUAAUAAAACAAAACAAAAGAGAAUAAAACCCAACCCAACAAAACAAUGAAAAUGACAUGGUUUCCCAGGUGGGAUCGCCUCCUGGUGAGGCCUGAUUCUCUCCCCAUGCAGUCCACCAAGUGCGCUGCCUCACAUAGAGAGGCUUGGGUGUGGCUGUCCCUACUCUGGCAGUGGCCAAGAUUUUUAAAUCUAAUAGACAACCUCAAAUGGGCAAACACUAUAAUCCUGAUUUCCAAAGUGCUUACCCAGUAGUGAAUGUAAUUUUCUUUCAAGAUGUUUGACUAUGAUGAAAGAAAAGGGACAGCAAUCUUGCCCAAAUUUGCAGUAUAAGAAUAAAUUUAAAAGUGGCCUUAGCCAAUGACCAAUGAAGUAGGAGUGAAGGUACUUAUUGCAAUGUUAUUUAUAAUAUGAAAGAUUUGAGAUAUAUAAAAAUUUAAAUGUUAAAAAAGGAUAAAUUAUGGCAUGUCCCAUAGUGGAAUACUAUAUAGCUCUUAACAUUAAUUAAUAAUCAUAAAUUUAUUUUCAUGUAAAGAUAGUUAUAUUGAUAUGGAAAUAGAUAAUAAUUUUAUGAGCUCAGUUUGGUAAAAAAAAAACUAUGGCAAAAAUCAUAUUUCAAAUGUGUAGGAGGAAUACACAGAAAAAUUGGAAGGACAUACAUCAAAAUAAUGUUCAUUAAUUAUGGGGAAUUGAUUAUAUUUUUUAAAUGUCUUAAAUUAACAUUACAACUGGUAUUUGUUUAAGAAGUAUACAGUCCACCAAAAAGACUUUCAUUCGAAAUGGUCAAUAUUAGGCUGGCUCCAAUUGUGUGGUCCAUUGUACCUUGUUACCUCAUAACGUGAUAAUGCUAUAGGUAAGUGAGAAAUUGCUUUAUUUUCUUUCCCUCCCUGGGUCAACUGAGUUAUAAACUAAAAUCAAAGCAGAACUAGAAUCAAAACACAAAGGUCAAAGAUUCCAAUUUCUGUUACUAAAGUUCAUUUGCUCACACACUGAAAAAUAUCACUAUGUAACUAGAAUUUUAAAAACCUCACACAGAAGAUAUAUCUCACACAGGUCCUACUUUCAGAGACUACAAUUACUAAACAGUGAGGUACUUAAAUUAAAGAGAGAGAGAGAGCUACAAGAAUAGUAUUGUGAAGGACAGGUUUUCUACUCAGGGAAUUAGAGAAGAAUUACUGAACAAUGAAUGGACGCAGCUGGGACUUAAUAUCAAAAAGGUAAAUUUUAAGGUCAAAAGAUUGCAUUGCCUUAGGAAAUGAACUCUAGAUAGUACAAAGUGAAUGAAGCAAGGUAAAAACAGUACAGGUACACAUUCCACAUACACAUUCACACACAUCCACUGACACGCAUGGGUAUAUCAGUAAGGUACAAGGUUACUCUCUGGGUAGGGGAUUACAGAUGGUUAUCACGUGUUAUCUAUCCUAUUUAGUUUUACUGUAAUGAACUGAAUGGUGUAUUACAUAUGGAUAAAUAGGGGAAACUUAUUCAUGGUGCCCAAAUAAAACCUUGUGUCAUGCUAUGAUCAGUGCUGGACUAUGAAAGAGCCAGUGCUGACGUGUGAGACAUUAUGAUCAGAAAUAAACUUGCCCACUUCUCUGACAGCCCAGCUCUGAAUUUUCAUCUGGCAACAUUGAAUGAGUGGCACAAAAUGAUUCUUCUCAAUUACCUUGAAAUGAUACAGAGAACUGAGUAGAUGCCUGCAAUUAAAAAUAAGUGACCUAAAUAACCAGAACCCUUGAGAGAGUUUCCAAUCAACAGCAUUAGUAUCCAAUAUAGCUUCGCGAGCAACUUGCCCUGUGUUGGUAACAUGCAGCCGUCUUCCUCACGUAGAAAAGCCUGGUGUGUUUUGAUGGAUUCGGAAUUAGGAUGAUGCUACAGAAGUAGAUGUUGUACACAGCACACUGUUCACAUCUAUCACUUUGCCAUUGUUUGGCAGCAAGUCUAUUUCUCCCUCAAGUUCUAUUGCUUGUUUGCUUGUUUGUUUUUGAGACAGGGACUUGCUACACAGUUCACUAUGAAGUCCAGGCUGGCCUCCAACUCACAGUGAUCCUCCUGCUUCAACCUUCCAAGUACUAGGAUUACAGAUGUGCACCACCACCCCUGGCACUCCUUCAAGAUUUUUUUACUCUUACUGUAUUCCAGCACCUAACAGACUCUUGGCAGUGGCAAGGGUUUUCAAACCAUUUUUAAGAAGGAAUGAGAUAACCUUCCACCUUUCUUGGGUACCCACGAAAGCACUAAAUUCCCUAAGAACUCUUUAUUUAAAGACGGAUAUGAAUAAGUUGCUGAACAUUCAGGGAAAACAUAGAACAGCUAAGAAGCUGAUAAAUGAGAAUUCAGUGCUUCAGUUCACAGAAGAGCCAGAGAGGGCUAAAGUAGUUCCAGUGUUUUUCUGAAGUGAUCUAACACACAACGUCUCUACUAGAAAUGUCCAAAAAUUUCUGAGUUAGAAACCCCGACUAGGGAGUUGGAGCAUUAAAUAUGGUAAUGGAUCGCAACAGCAAAGACAAACAAUGAAACCUCAGCUGAAAUAACUCAUCCUCAGGGCUCUUGCACAGGAGCUACAUGCUGAGCUCCAAUGAUGAAGUCUCAUGUACAAGCUUCCGUGUGUUAAUGAAUGGGCAGCCUCUGAAGCAAGCCCCUCCCGGACGCAGGCACCACAAUCUUAUAAUAAAUACAAGUAAUCAACCAUUAGCAGUACAAUUGAAUUGAAAUAUGAAGCUCAAUUGUAUUUUCCUAAUACUUAUGUUCAAGGCACCACAGAAAUCUUCAUCAAUAGAAUAUAAAAUAUCUAUGAAUAUAUAGGAAAUGGGUUUUUGGUAAAUCUCAUGCUUAUCUUUCCUGUAUAUUUGCAUAGCUUUCCAUUUUUAUAAAAAAGUUAGCUGGUUAUUUCUUAAUUCAGUAUGUUCUAAAUAAAACCUAAAAUUCAGUCCAAUACAACUCCAUUCCAAAAUGUAUGUAGUACACACAUAUACAUACACAGUAAAUAUGGUAGGCGUAAGAAAGGGUGAGAAACCCACACAACUCUUAGUUCUUCUUAUCCAUCAAAUCUUCUUUGACCAUUGUUCUUAUUUGCAAUACAUAACUAUGCUAUAAAGUUGUCACCUUAAAGAGUCUUCAGUUUCUCUUCUUUUCCAAAGAAGGACUGAAAGAGUCCCCCAAACCUAUUGAUUUAGCACCAAAUUUAAAUAGACCCAGAAGGCCUCUCACUUCUCACACUGAGUAGAACAAGGUCAGACUGGGCAUCUUCUCAAUGUAAAGGCUUAAUUGGACUAAUUCUUUCAUGAUAAUAAUGUAUAUUUAAGAUAGCCACUAAAAAUUGUCAAUGGUAAUUUAGUAGAUCAAUUCCAUUAAAUGCUUUGAACUUUUCACCACUUGCUAAUCUCAUCUAUUACCGCAGCUGUUUUGUUGAAAAUCUGAAGCUAUAACUUAAUAUCAAAUUACAACAAUUCCAGCCAGACCUAAAAAAUACUUUCUUAUAUGUAAAACAGAACCUGGAAGGAUCUUAAAUUGUGUCAAAUUGUAAGAUUCUGGCCAUAAAAUUUCCUGCAACCAAAAUAAGAGAGACCUUAUCACUCUGUUGGCAAUUGACAUUACAGUAAGAACUUUGCAGGGCUUUUGAUUUUACUAUAUAUCUCAGGUAAUACAGUUUUUAAAAAAUACAUAUUUUAUUAUGUCUGAAAUAAAGCUUUACCACUUUUCUUGCUGAUCGUAGACCAACCUUUAUUCGACUAAAUGGUUCAGGGUUUAAUAUCAAACACAAUGCUAAUUCUAGGAAGUAGCUGAACCCAGAUCAAUAAAGAUGUCAAAAUUCUGUUCAACCUUUAGGUGAACAAAGCAAGCAAUGUAACUCAUUAACAUAAAAAUAAUAUAUUCAUUAGGUAACUAAUGAAGAAUUGCGGGAGACUCCAAAGCACUGUCAAAUAUCCAUGCCUUAUUUGUUUGAAAGUCCAUGUCGAAGGCUAUUUUUAUGCCCUGUGAUUUAGCACCAGUAUCCUCUGGGUGAUAGUGGAGGAAACAGAUGCUGGGAAUCUCUCCGGCCCAGUUCCUGAGAGCAGAGCUGUGAGUCACAGCCGCACCAGCGCGGCUUUGUACUCGCACAGGCAGAGGGUGGUGGAGCCCUGCGCAGAUGACGGUCUGAUUUCCACGCGCCUCUGCCAGUUUCCUCAAAGUUUCCACUUACGCAUUUGCCUC